rnacentral:snRNA from 1 species
GUGCUUGCCUCAGCAGCACAAAGACUAAAAUUGGAACAAUACAUAGAAGAUUAGUAUGGCUCCUGCACAAGGAUGACAUGCAAAUCCAUGAAGCAUUCCAUAUUAAA